rnacentral:rRNA from 1 species
AGUGAACGCUGGCGGUAGGCCUAACACAUGCAAGUCGAACGGCAGCACAGUAAGAGCUUGCUCUUACGGGUGACGAGUGGCGGACGGGUGAGGAAUACAUCGGAAUCUACUUUUUCGUGGGGGAUAACGUAGGGAAACUUACGCUAAUACCGCAUACGACCUACGGGUGAAAGCAGGGGAUCUUCGGACCUUGCGCGAUUGAAUGAGCCGAUGUCGGAUUAGCUAGUUGGCGGGGUAAAGGCCCACCAAGGCGACGAUCCGUAGCUGGUCUGAGAGGAUGAUCAGCCACCCUGGAACUGGGACACGGUCCAGACUCCUACGGGAGGCAGCAGUGGGGAAUAUUGGACAAUGGGCGCAAGCCUGAUCCAGCCAUACCGCGUGGGUGAAGAAGGCCUUCGGGUUGUAAAGCCCUUUUGUUGGGAAAGAAAAGCAGCAGGUUAAUACCCCGCUGUUCUGACGGUACCCAAAGAAUAAGCACCGGCUAACUUCGUG